AUGUGCACCAUUUGGGGAUUUUGUUAAAAUGCAGAUUCUGAGUCUGUUGGUCAAGGUGGAACCUCAGAUUCUGUAUUUCUAACAAGCUCCCAAGUGAUGUUGAU
rnacentral:pre_miRNA from 1 species